GACGAACGCUGGCGGCGUGCCUAACACAUGCAAGUCGAACGGGGUGAUUCCUUCGGGGAUCGCUUAGUGGCGAACGGGUGGGUAACGCGUGAGAAACCUGCCUUUCAGUGGGGGACAACAGUUGGAAACGACUGCUAAUACCGCAUAAUGUUUCGAGAGGGCAUCCUUUUGAAACCAAAGCUUUAUGUGCUGAAAGAUGGUCACGCGUCUGAUUAGCUAGUUGGUGAGGUAACGGCUCACCAAGGCGACGAUCAGUAGCCGGUCUGAGAGGAUGAACGGCCACAUUGGGACUGAGAUACGGCCCAGACUCCUACGGGAGGCAGCAGUGGGGAAUAUUGGGCAAUGGGGGAAACCCUGACCCAGCAACGCCGCGUGAAGGAAGAAGGCCUUCGGGUUGUAAACUUCUUUUACCAGGGACGAAGAACGUGACGGUACCUGGAGAAAAAGCAACGGCUAACUACGUGCCAGCCGCCGCAGUAAAAC
rnacentral:rRNA from 1 species